rnacentral:rRNA from 1 species
UAUUACAUAUUAACUUCGUUAUCUUAUGGGAACUUAGUAAACUAACCCAUAAUACAAGGCUCUUUAGUAUAAAAUUCAGCUUAAAAAGAACCAUCUAAUUUAUUUAGUAGCGGCGAUCGAAAAACUUAUUGUUUAUGUUAAAGUUUAAUAAGUACUGCAAAGGAAUAAAACCUACUUAAUUUAAUUUAGUAAAGGUUUAACCUUAUACCUUUUGUAUCAUGGUUCUUCUAACUCAAUUUCACUAUAGAAAUCCCCCGAAAAAAAUUGAGCUAUUAUUUUGACUUUAUCUCAAAUACGUUAACAUGGAAAAGUUAUGUAGAGAUCAAAUAAUAGGAGUGAAAUGCUUUUCGAAAUUUUUGAUUGCUGGUUAAUUAGGAAAUGUAUCAAAGUACAGGUAAAUACUAUAAUUUUUGAUUUUCAAAUAUAUUUUAAAUCUAGAUUAGCUAGUAUUUAGCUUAUUUAAAGAAGGAUAAGCUUCUUUAAAAAACUAAGAGACUCUGAAUAAGAAAAUUAAAUUAUGGGCUUAGAAUCGGUCAUUUUAAUAAUAAAGUUUGUUAUAUAUUAUUUAUCUUAUCCUUAAAAUUCUUAAUGGUCUCUAAAUCAACUUUAUACUAAAGUCUAAUCAAAGUACUAAAUUUUAUUAAUCAAGUUAAAUAAUUAAUUUAUUUCUGAUGAAAUGAGUAUUUAAAAAUCUUAAAAUAUAUUACAUUAAUAAGUUAUAUAAAGGUUAAUAAUUUAAUGUAAAUACUUUAAUAAAAAUUCAACAAGUUUUAAAACUUAAUUUAAGAAAAGGAAUUCGGCAAAACCUAGUUCCGCCUGUUUAUCAAAAACAUCGCUCCCUGAGAAAUCAUUACUGUGAUUUAUAUAAAUUCAAAUAAUAUAUUAUAGGGAGUCGGACCUGCCCGGUGACAAACGUUAAACGGCCGCGGUACUCUGACCGUGCAAAGGUAGCAUAAUCAUUUGCCUUUUAAUUGAAGGCUUGUAUGAAUGGUUUGACGAGAGCUAAGCUGUCUCUUCUUAAAUAUAAAAAAAUUAAUUAUUAGGUGAAGAAGCCUAAAUUUAAUUGAGGGACAAGAAGACCCCAUUGAGCUUUAGUGAUUUAAUAAAAAUUUAAAUUAAUUUACUGCCAAGUAAAAGUUAUUAUUACAUAAAAUGUAAAUAUCAUUUAUUAAAAAUCUUUAGUUGGGGCGACUAAGGAACAUAAAAAGCUUCCUUUAGACAUUUUCUUAUAGGAAGUCAAUCUUAUUUUAGGGACCCAGUUCUUACUGAUUAAAGGAAAAAGUUACCAUGGGGAUAACAGCGUAAUCCUUCUGAAGAGUUCAUAUCGAAAGAAGGGUUUGCGACCUCGAUGUUGGACUAAGAUACCCUAAAGGUGUAGAAGCUUUUAACGGUUAGUCUGUUCGACUAUUAAAAUCUUACACGAUCUGAGUUCAGACCGGCGUGAGCCAGGUUGGUUUCUAUCUUCAAUUAACCAAACAAAUCUUUAGCCAGUACGAAAGGACCGCUGUUAAGAUAAAUAAUUUAUUUAAGAGAACAAAUAUAACAUUUAAAUUAAAAAAUAUAAAAUAAAAUACACAU